rnacentral:tRNA from 1 species
GGAAGCGUGCCCGAAACUAUAGGGGCUGCUUUGAUGAGGCAGAAAUGGAACCAACAACUCCCACUUCCU